UAACUAGGCUUCUUUUUGCUUCUCAAAAAUUUGAUGGUGAUGGCGAAGGCCGUAUGAGUCUUUGGCUUUCUAUCUUCUAACAAGGAAACAAUACUUAGGCUUUCAAGAUCCAGUUGCA
rnacentral:sRNA from 1 species